AAAGAUGGCACCGAUUUUCCGCAUGAUUAUGGUGAUCAAACAGAUGUGAAAACUGAAAACCAUCAGGCUGCAGACAGAUUACCUGGACGAUUAAAGGUAACAGUAAAUGCAGCUGGAAGAUCUUUUCGAGUUCGGGAACAAGAUCCUAUCCGACGACUUUAUGGAGAUGAAGGCUGUUUGCCUAGCUAAAAUGCGGCAGAUUUUUAGAAUCGGAUUGGGAUUGAAGAAACUGACUCUUCUCAUGUUCUACAGUAAGAAAAGCCACCAUUAUUUGAAAUGGAGGACCUAAAAAGUUAUUGGUACUGGUUCAUGACAGUGGGGUUGAACAGGCAAGCCAAAAGGGCAUUAGCCAAAAGAAAUGCUAAACCUCAGUGAGAAACAAGCAAGCAAGUGACGAGAAACACCAUCAAAGAUAUUCUGGUCUCUCCAACUCGAUUGCAGUCAAGUAGCAGAAAUAAACAGAUCCUCAUUGGAGUCCCAACCAUCUGCUGUUACCCUUCGGAGCUUGAGGCGACUCCCAUUGAUAAAAAUCGUCGUUGAACCAGCGAAACCCAACUUUCU